rnacentral:rRNA from 1 species
GUGGGGAAUAUUGGGCAAUGGGCGCAAGCCUGACCCAGCAACGCCGCGUGAGGGAAGAAGGCUUUCGGGUUGUAAACCUCUGUCCUUGGUGACGAAACAAAUGACGGUAGCCAAGGAGGAAGCCCCGGCUAACUACGUGCCAGCAGCCGCGGUAAUACGUAGGGGGCGAGCGUUGUCCGGAAUUACUGGGCGUAAAGGGUGCGUAGGUGGCCUUUUAAGUUGGAUGUGAAAUACCCGGGCUUAACUUGGGGGGUGCAUCCAAAACUGGGAGGCUAGAGUGCAGGAGAGGAAAGCGGAAUUCCUAGUGUAGCGGUGAAAUGCGUAGAUAUUAGGAGGAACACCAGUGGCGAAGGCGGCUUUCUGGACUGUAACUGACACUGAGGCGCGAAAGCCAGGGGAGCGAACGGGAUUAGAAACCCCUGUAGUCC